rnacentral:antisense_RNA from 1 species
GAACACAAAAUGGCGACACGUGGUUAGCAUUCGUCGCCAACGAGAAAUUGGGGUCGGCCCGAAAGCUCUAGAAUGCACCCCUAUUCCUCCCCGGGGCCAUUCCCGCUCAACGAGUUUUAUGACCUAAAAAACCCCACAGGCUGGUCUGAAGAGGAAGACACUUAAAGAUGAAGUGCUUAAUUCAAGGUCACAGAAUGUCGGGGAUGGACCUCCAGAUUUCCUUACUGGAAAACAAGCUCAGGGCUCCCACUGAUUGUACAUUAUGGUGAGACGUGGUCUUGUAACACAGUGGUUAAGAAUGUGACUUUGGAGCCAGCCUGCUAGGGGCUGAAUUCUGACUCAGCCAUUUAUUAACUGUGUGACCUUAGGGAGGAGGACCUGGUUGAUAGAAGAAUUUAUCUCAUAGUCUUAACAUCCACUGUAAUUCCGAACUUUGAGGACGAUAGAGAUCAGUGGGCUUUGACUGCCCAGCAUGCAGUCUCCAUUCUUAGGUAGGUUCCCAAGCCUGUAAAAUGUAAGUCUUAUGUUGCUGAGGGCC